rnacentral:rRNA from 1 species
UACGGGGGGGGUAAGCGGUUGUUCGGAAUUACUGGGCGUAAAGGGCUCGUAGGCGGCCAACUAAGUCAUACGUGAAAUCCCUCAGCUUAACUGGGGAACUGCGUGUGAUACUGGAUGGCUUGGAUUUGGGAGAGGGAUGCGGAAUUCCAGGUGUAGCGGUGAAAUGCGUAGAUAUCUGGAGGAACACCGGUGGCGAAGGCGGCAUCCUGGACCAAUAUUGACGCUGAGGAGCGAAAGCCAGGGGAGCAAACGGG